rnacentral:lncRNA from 1 species
AUAUAUUAUUUUUCCCAACGAUUAAGAGCAUUUUUUCCACUGGGUUUUUGCUACCUAAAGAGGUUUUGACGAGGCACCCACCUUGGGUUGAUCAUAUCCCUGAUGACGUCCCUUAGACGUUUUAUUUGACUUUGCAUUUCUCACGCAUUUUUCCUUAGACUAUGGAUUUUGUCCCUACUCGAGUUUUUACCAUAGCCAUAGGGUUUUUUGUGAGACUUACUUCCUUAUGCAAGUUCCUACCUUAUUUAAGAAUAGCAUAUUCCCAAAAUCAGUGUCGACAAGUUGACUUCCUUAACCUCUACAUGAUGUCG